AUUGAACGCUGGCGGCAGGCCUAACACAUGCAAGUCGAGCGGAUGAAGGGAGCUUGCUCCUGGCUUCAGCGGCGGACGGGCGAGUAAUGCCUAGGAAUCUGCCUUGUAGAGGGGGAUAACGUCCGGAAACGGGCGCUAAUACCGCAUACGUCCUGAGGGUGAAAGUGGGGGAUCUUCGGACCUCACGCUAUCAGAUGAGCCUAGGUCGGAUUAGCUAGUUGGUGGGGUAAAGGCCUACCAAGGCGACGAUCCGUAGCUGGUCUGAGAGGAUGAUCAGCCACACUGGAACUGAGACACGGUCCAGACUCCUACGGGAGGCAGCAGUGGGGAAUAUUGGACAAUGGGCGAAAGCCUGAUCCAGCCAUGCCGCGUGUGUGAAGAAGGUCUUCGGAUUGUAAAGCUCUGUUAGUUGGGAGGAAGGGCAGUAAGUUAAUACGUUGCUGUUUUGACGUUACCAACAGAGUAAGCACCGGCUAACUUCGUG
rnacentral:rRNA from 1 species